AUUGAACGCUGGCGGCAGGCUUAACACAUGCAGGUCGAACGGUAACAUAAAGAAGCUUGCUUCUUUGAUGACGAGUGGCGGACGGGUGAGUAAUGCUUGGGAAUCUGGCUUAUGGAGGGGGAUAACUACGGGAAACUGUAGCUAAUACCGCGUAGAAUCGGGAGAUGAAAGUGUGGGACCUUCGGGCCACAUGCCAUAGGAUGAGCCCAAGUGGGAUUAGGUAGUUGGUGAGGUAAAGGCUCACCAAGCCGACGAUCUCUAGCUGGUCUGAGAGGAUGACCAGCCACACUGGGACUGAGACACGGCCCAGACUCCUACGGGAGGCAGCAGUGGGGAAUAUUGCGCAAUGGGGGCAACCCUGACGCAGCCAUGCCGCGUGAAUGAAGAAGGCCUUCGGGUUGUAAAGUUCUUUCGGUAGCGAGGAAGGCAUUUAGUUUAAUAGACUAGGUGAUUGACGUAA
rnacentral:rRNA from 1 species